UUUUUUAAAAAAUAGACUUUAUUUUUUAGAGCAAUUUCAAAUUCAAAGCAAAAUUGAGAGGAUAGUAGGGAGUUCCUGUAUACCCCCUGAUUACACACACACACACACACACACACACACACACACACACACACACAGCCUCCCCAACUAUCAACAUCCCAAACCAAGAUGGUACCUUUGUUGCCUUGGGUGAAAUUACAUUGAUCCCUCAUUAUCAUCCAAAGUCCUUUUUGUGAUAUUAGGGUUCACUUUUGCAUUGUACAUUCUAUGAGUUUUCACAAAUGUAUGCUGAAAUCUAUCCACCAUUAUCGUAUCAUACAGAAUAGUUUCACUAUUCUGUGAAUAGUGAAAUUCCUAUUUCCGAUUCCUGGGAGAAUAAUAAAAUUCCUCUCUGCUCCUUCUCCUCAUUCCUCCUCUGCUCAACUCCUGGCAACCACUGAUCCAUAACUGUCUCCAUAGAUUUGCCUUUUCCAGAAUGUCAUAUAGUUGGAAUCAUGUAAUGAGUAGCCUUUUGAGAUGAGCUUCUUUCACUUAGUAAUAUGCAUUUAACCUUCUUUCAUGUCUUUUCUUGGCUUGCUAGCUCAUUUCUUUUUAGUGCUGAACAAUGUUCCAUUGUCUGGAAGUACCACUGUUUAUCCAUUCACCCACUGCGGGUCUUAGUUGCUUCCAAGUUUUGCAAUUAUGAAUAAAGCUGCUUUAAACAUUCAUGUGCAGGUUUUUCUGUGGAUAUAAGUUUUCAACUCCUUUGGGUAAAUACCAAGGAACACGAUUGCUGGGUCAUAUGAUGAAGGUAUGUUUAGUUUUAUAAGAAACUGCCAAACUGUCUUCCAAAUUAAACGUACCGCUUUGCAUUCCCAUCAGCAAUGAAUGAGUCUUCCUGUUGCUCUCCAUCCAUGCCAUCACUUGGUGGUGUCAGCAUUUUGGAUUUUCACCAUUCUAACAGGUCUGUAGUAGUAUCUCUUUGUUGUUUCAAUGUGCAGUUCCUUACUGACGUGAUAUUAAGCAUCUUUUCAUUUGCUUAUUUGCCAUCUGUAUAUCUUCUUUGGUGAGGUGUAUGUUCAGAUCUUUUGCCCACUUUUAAUGAGCUGCUUGUUUUCUUAUUGUUGAGUCUUACGAGUUCUUUGGAUAUUUUCUAUAACUGUAUUUUAUCAGGUAUGUCUUUUGGAAAUAUUUUCUCCCAGUGUGUGGCUUGUCUUUUUGUCCUGUUGACAGUGUCUUUUGCAGAGCAGAAGUUUUUAAUUGUAAUGAUUUUAAUUUUAAUUUGUUUCUUUCAUGGGAUCCUGCCUUUGGUGUUGUAUCUAAAAAGUCAUCACCAAACCCAAUCGUCCAGAUCACCUAGGUUUUUUACCAUAUUAUCUUCUAGGAGUUUUUUUAGUUUUGCAUUUUACAUUUAGAUCUAAUUCAUUUUGGUUAAUUUUUGUGAAGGGUGUAAGUAGGUGUCCAGAUUCAUUUUUUUGCAUAUGGAUUUCCAGUUCUUCUGGCACGACUUAUUGAAAAGAUUAUCUUUUCUUCAUUGUAUUGCCUUUGCUCUUUUUUUCAAAGGUCAGUUGAUUAUACAGUCAUGCAGCACGUAACACCAUUUCUGUCGAUGAUGGACUGCAUAUGCAGUAGUGGUCCCGUAAGGUUAUAGUGGAGCUGAAAAAUUCCUAUUGCCUACUGAUGUGGUAGCCAUUGUAAUGUCAUAGCACAAUACAGUACUCACAUGCUUGUGGUGGAGCUAGUGUAAACAAACCUAUGGGCUGCCAGUUAUAUAAAAGUAUAGCAAUACAAUUGUGUGCAGUACGUAAUACUUGAUAAUGAUAAUAAACAACUAUGUUAUUGGUUUAUAUACUUACUAUACUAUACUUUUAUCAUUAUUUUAGAUGGUACUCUUUCUACUUAUUAAAAAAACAGUUUGCUAUAAAACAGUAUGCCGUGUUACUCUGGCAGCAGCCUCAUACAUCUUAUGUUUUCCUGCAUCUCUUUUUUUUUAAAGCUUGGCACCUGGACUAACAACUGUUGCCAAUCUUCCUUUUUUUUUUUUUUAUUUUUUUUCAAAGCUUGGCACCUGGGCUAACAACUGUUGCCAAUCUUUUCUUUUUUUUUUUUUUUCUGCUUUAUCUCCCCAAAUCACCUCCCCCGUACACAGUUGUAUAUCCUAGUUGCACGUGCUUCUAAUUGUGGGAUGUGGGAUGGUGCCUCAACGUGGCCUGACGAGCGGUGCCAUGUCUGCGCCCAGGAUCCGAACCCUGGGCCGCCGCAGCAGAGCGCGCGAACUUAACCACUCGGCCACAGAGCCGGCCCCUCUGCAUCUCUUGAUUGCAUCAUUUUCUCUUGCCCUUGAUUUAAUCUUGUGUUGUUUUGUUCACCACAGCCCCUAAGUGUACGAAAUCCACUGCUGAUGUUUCCAGUAAGAAGCCACGUCAAGUGAUUGACCU
rnacentral:lncRNA from 1 species